rnacentral:rRNA from 3 species
UGGUGGGUAGUUUGACUGGGGCGGUCUCCUCCUAAAGAGUAACGGAGGAGCACGAAGGUUGGCUAAUCCUGGUCGGACAUCAGGAGGUUAGUGCAAUGGCAUAAGCCAGCUUGACUGCGAGCGUGACGGCGCGAGCAGGUGCGAAAGCAGGUCAUAGUGAUCCGGUGGUUCUGAAUGGAAGGGCCAUCGCUCAACGGAUAAAAGGUACUCCGGGGAUAACAGGCUGAUACCGCCCAAGAGUUCAUAUCGACGGCGGUGUUUGGCACCUCGAUGUCGGCUCAUCACAUCCUGGGGCUGAAGUAGGUCCCAAGGGUAUGGCUGUUCGCCAUUUAAAGUGGUACGCGAGCUGGGUUUAGAACGUCGUGAGACAGUUCGGUCCCUAUCUGCCGUGGGCGCUGGAGAACUGAGGGGGGCUGCUCCUAGUACGAGAGGACCGGAGUGGACGCAUCACUGGUGUUCGGGUUGUCAUGCCAAUGGCACUGCCCGGUAGCUAAAUGCGGAAGAGAUAAGUGCUGAAAGCAUCUAAGCACGAAACUUGCCCCGAGAUGAGUUCUCCCUGAGACUUAGAGUCUCCUGAAGGAACGUUGAAGACGACGACGUUGAUAGGCCGGGUGUGU